UUGCCCACUGGGAAGAAGAAUUCACGUGGAAAAGUUGUUGCUCUCAUCCGGAAAAGUGUUUUAUCGGUGAUUUUGUGGGAAAUACGCCUGAAAAUGAGUAAUACUCAGCACAGGCAUCGUCAUGGGAGUCUCAAGCAGACAAAUAAAGCCCAUAAAACUGGUAGACAUCGCUCAAAAUCAGCAGUUGAUAAUGCCAAUAAAGGAAAGACUUCUGUCAAAGCAGUGACUAGGAAGAUGGACAGAGUCAUGAGCAGAGACAGUCGCCGGCAGCAGGCUCAGCAAUUGAGGAAGAACAAGCGCGCAGACACGAUGAACAAAAAGAGGCAACUUGGGACUUCAGAAUACGCCCCAUUUCUCGUGUGUCUGUUACCUCUGGAAGCCAGCAUUGAUCCCCGAUCCACCCUAGACAUGCUGGAAAAGUGCGAUCCUGAAGCAUUGGUGUACAAAAAUUUGUCAGGGAUCACUUAUUUGAGCGUGCCUCGUUUUAAACAGAGGUUUUCAUUUAUUGUGCCCCCGGUGGGACGAGGUAAUGAAUUCACAGCUUUGGACUAUCUCAAAGUAGCUGACACUACAAUCUUCAUUGUUUCUGCCAAUAAUCCGGAAGGAGAGAUUAUGGAUAGAUGGGGCUCUAGAAUCUUUCAAAUGGCCAUGGCACAGGGCCUGCCAACACCGACUUUUGCCCUGCAGGAUCUCGAAUCGAUUGCGCCGAAGAAAAGGAUCCCCAUGAAAUCCUCAAUUCAGAAAAUUGUGGAAAAACUUAUUCCGGAUCAGAAACUUGUGACUUUAGACACGAAUUCUGAUGCUCUGAAUCUCUUGAGGAAGAUUGGGGCGCAGAAGAAGAAUAAAUUGAAGAAUAGGAUGUGUCGUCCUCAUUUGUAUGCUGACAAAGUGGAUUAUUGCCAGGAAGUGCUAAAGGUGACGGGAUAUUUGAGAGGAACUCCUCUGGACGUCAAUAGAUUGGUGUACAUUCCUGGUCUGGGAGACUUUCAGAUGGCUCAGAUUGACGUGACAACAGAUCCUUAUCCAAUUGACAAGAGGAACAUCGACCAGGAGAUUGCAACGAAGGUUUUUGCUGUGGCUGAUGAGAAGCUGCAGACACCUCUGGACCGGGAAAAUGUCUUGAAUGAAGUGGAAAUGGAAGAGGAAUCUGAAGAUGUGACAGAGGAGGCGACAGAGAAGCCCAAAAAGCUCAUAAAGAGGGUUCCCGUGGGCAUGAACAGCUAUACGGCAGCCUGGAUUCCGGAUGUGGAAGAAGUGGACGAUGAAGAUGAGAGUGAGGAAGGAUCUAGCGAUGAUGAUGACGAUUUCAUGUCAUGUGCCUCGGAAGUCGAUUCAAAUGCCGAAAUGGAGGAUGAAGGCUCUCAAAAUGGGGACGAUGAAGGGUAUCAGGAGAUCACAGAGGAGGAAGGUGUCUCGGAUGUUGCUAAGUAUGACAAUGAGAUGGACUUUGAGGAGGAAAAAAGGAGCCUGGAGAAGAUGAAGGCUGCCCGGACAGAUAAACUCUGGCCAGAUGAGAUUGAUACUCCACAGGAUAUUCCCGUAAGGCUGAGGUAUCAGAAAUACCGGGGUCUUGAGUCUUUCAGGACAUCUCCAUGGGAUACAGAAAAAAAUCUCCCGAGUGACUACAGCAGGAUCUAUAAUUUUGAAAAUUUCCGGAAUAGAGCUCGCUUUGAACUGAAGGAAGCAGAAAAUGUCCUUGGAGUCCCAGCUGGACUCUAUGUCACUGUCCACAUUAAGGGAGUCCAACAGAGUCUCUGGGAGGCUUUCAGCUCAGCGCAGGACAGUGAGAAUUUUAUCCUCUACGGAUUGCUGCCCCAUGAGCACAAAAUGUCCCUGGUGAAUUGUGUCUUACGCCGAACUCCAGAAUCUGAGAUUCCCAUUGAGUCCAAAGAGAGACUGAUCAUCCAAUGUGGCUACCGACGCUUCAUCACAAAUCCCAUCUUCAGCGAACACACGCACGGCAACAAAUUCAAAUUUGAGAAGUUUUUCAGGCCCAAUGAAAUUGUUGUGGCCAGCUUCUAUGCUCCCAUCCAAUACCCACCGGCUACAGUUAUGUGCUUCCGCUCCAAUCCGGACUCGAGUGUCUCACUCGUAGCUGCCGGAAGUCUACUAACCUGCGAUCCCAAUCGCGUAGUCCUCAAACGGAUUCGUCUCAGUGGGCAUCCGUUGAAGAUCUACAAGGAUUUUGCCGUUAUCAGAUUUAUGUUCUUCAACUGCGAAGAUGUUAACUACUACAAACCCAUUAAAUUGAGGACAAAGUGUGGCAGGAUGGGACACAUCAGGGAGAGUCUGGGAACUCAUGGACACAUGAAAUGUCGCUUCGAUGGGCAACUAAAAUCCUACGAUACCGUUUAUCUGCAACUGUACAAGAGAAUCUUCCCCAAAUGGACUUAUCAGGAAUGCCUCAAGACAGAACUUCCUGCCAAAGGAGCUCCAGCGGCUGGCCGAAUGGACGUCGAUUGAGAGAGGUAUUUUCUAAGAUGCGGUUCGAGUGGUACAAGGUAUGUGCACCUUGAUUACUACGGAAUUCUCCAAAACCCUGAACAUUCCUUCUAACAACUUCCGUCCUACCGUGAUCCACCUCAACGUGAACUGCCUAACAUUUACUACCUACAAACCCCUCUAAGACGAUGAGGGUGGAUGUUGGGGAAGAAUGGUUGCGUUACUAUGAACAUUUGUACCGUAAAAUGAUGUUGAACUUGGCGAUUGGGUUACCUGGCAGCUAAACUGCACACCAGGGUCAUUACUAUGACAACCAGAUGUUCUGAUUUCAACCUAUCAUUCCCAGCAUCGCAUGAAUGUACCCACCACAUUUCAACUCAUCAAAUCCAUUCCCUGUUUUGCUCUUGAACCAUCAACCACGCUUCAUUCCCCAGAAAAUAUAUGCCUUGAAGUCAACCACCUAGCUUUUUCAUCAAUUUUCCAAUUAAAUCUUGAUGCCUGAAACAGUGGUGGCUCAUUUCCAGGAAAAUUCGCACUUCAAAUGCAUUGUUCAAAUAAUUAAUAAUACUAAUAAUACAAAUAAGUUUUUGUAGUUUAUUAGAACAAGAGUAUUGCAAAUAAUGAUGAGGUUCGAAUGAACUCUAAACAUAAUUAUUAUUUAUUGCACUACUAAAUCAUGCAGGAUACAAAUAAAAUUUUAGGAACAUUUUACUGAUUUAUCAUGUAUUAUACAUUAACAAGAAAAGUAAUACGGCGGCUCGCAACGCAACGUUGCAAUUGCAAGUGUAUCAUGUGGUAUUGUUUGUAUUCACAUCCAACAUUCUCUGCAGAGAGUCUUUUUCAGUCAAUAUUAAUUAAAUACAUAUAGUAAGGUGGGGUAACUGGAUCGUUUUCCGAAGAGUGCUACUUAAACGCUUGUUUUUGGACUGAUGAAAUGCUUUUUUACUUCUUCUAAAUUCAUAGAUUUAUUCACUGUUUCAUUCAGAAACAUAAUAUAAAAAAAAUUUAUCAAUAAUAUUAGAGAAAAUUUAUAAAAUAAUGAUAAUACUGAAAUAAGUCAGCAUGCACUAACUGGGUCGCCUUUUCGCUAAUUCACUAUUAAAUAAACCUUUGGAUUUAAAUUACUUUUUUCACAAGGAAAAAACAAUAAAUGUUUUCAAUCAACCAGCUAUCAUUAGCGAAAAUAUCACAGAUAGAAUUUAAUUUUUAGUGAAGAACCCAGCUGGUACAAGAUUGAAAUUAGUUGAUUACACUCACUGUAUUUAAAUUUUAAAUAUUUAAUGGAUAAAAAUAUUAUUUUUGCUUUUUCUCAAACUUGUAUAGUUAUAUUAUGUUACUGUAGUGACUAUAUUACGGAAAUAAAAAUAAAAAUAUUAUUUUAAGUGGAUUAGUCAUAAACGAUCCAGAUAGCGAAGCGCCCGGAUUAGCACACUUGACUGUAUAAAAUUCAAUUUGCAGAAAAACAAGCAGUUUUUCCGAACUAGUAAUAUCUCACUGAAUUAUUUUUGUUAGUAAUAUAGAAACCAAUCUUUUUCUGAUGUGUGCUGUGCUGAGAGCACCCUCUUAAUUUUAAAAUAGGAGAGGAUGGAGCAGUAUCAUGAAUAUGAACACCAUUCAAACUAACAACGUUCCAUUUGUAUCUCUUACAUAUUGACUAUCUGAUAAUCAACAGAACAAUUCCUUAAUUGUUCUUCCUCCUAAAAAUCUUUUCGAAAGUAGUGCAUGCGUGAAACUACCCCACCUUCCUGUAAAUCUCUAAGCUUUAUUUUAAGCCGACCUUGAGGUAACUUGAAACUUUCGUUAGAAAUAUUUUAUUUUGGUGUCAAUUUUUUGAACUUAUAACUUACAAAAUUUUACUAAAUUAACUUUAAAAAAUUAUCAUCAUAAUUUUCAACUGCUUAUCCUUAUUGGGGUUGCAGGCCCAUGACUUGAUGUUAUGGGCCUAUGAUGAUUUUUUAAGUUCAUUUAGUGGAAUUUUGUAAGUUGUAAACUUAAAAAAAAAUGACACCAAAAUAAAAUAUUUCUAACAUAAAGAUUGCAAGUUUCCUCAAGGUCGACUUAAAAUAACGCUUAUAAAAUAAUGCUUAUAAAAUAAAAAUAAAUAAAACUUAAAAAUCUAAAAUCAAGCUAUUUAUAUUUUUGAAGCUAGUUGUUUUCAAACCUUCAUAUACUUAAAAUUUUUAAUUUUAACUUUAAUAUCGCCUUUGAUUUUGAGUGCUUAAUGAACUUUGUGCAUUUUUUAAGAUUUAGUGUGUAUGUAGAAUUUUGAUUGAUUGUUUAUUAUUAUUAUAUUAUAUAUUUUUUAAAUUCAUUCAUUUCAUUCAUUUUCAACCGCUUAUCCCUAUUGGGGUCGCGGGAUAUUUUUAAAAUAUUUAUUUAUUUAUUUUUUAAUGGACUUAUUUAAAAAUAGAAAAUUUUUAAUUUUGACAAAAUAAUUUACCAUUAUUUAAGUUUUAUCGCUGAAUUGAACACGGUCUUUAUCUUUACGAUUUAGGCAUAUUGCCUCCUGCAAGUUCUUACUGCACAGGAUUUUAGAUACAAUUCGACUUAGGAUUGGAUAUUAAAGUGUAUACAUUAUAAAAAAAAA